rnacentral:rRNA from 1 species
CCUACGGGAGGCAGCAGUGAGGAAUAUUGGUCAAUGGGCGAGAGCCUGAACCAGCCAAGUCGCGUGAAUGAUGACGGCCCUACGGGUUGUAAACUUCUUUUGUCAGGGAACAAUUUGGUCCACGCGUGUGCUUAUCUAUAUUACCUGAAGAUAAAGCAUCGGCUAACUCCGUGCCACCAGCCGCGGUCAUACGGAGGAUGCGAGCGUUAUCCGGAUUUAUUGGGUUAAAUGGGUCCGUAAGCGGAAUAUCAAGUCAGCGGUAAAAAUUCGGGGCUCAACCCCGUCGUGCCGUUGAGACUGAUGUUCUUGAGUGGGCGAGAAGUAUGCGGAAUGCGUGGUGUAGCGGUGAAAUGCAUAGAUAUCACGCAGAACUCCGAUUGCGAAGGCAGCAUACCGGCGCCCAACUGACGCUGAAGCACGAAAGCGUGGGUAUCGAACAGGAUUAGAUACCCUUGUAGUC